rnacentral:rRNA from 1 species
UACGUAGGGGGCAAGCGUUGUCCGGAUUUAUUGGGCGUAAAGAGCGUGUAGGCGGCCAUACAGGUCAGCUGUGAAAACUCGAGGCUCAACCUCGAGACGUCGGUUGAAACCGUAUGGCUAGAGUCCGGAAGAGGAGAGUGGAAUUCCCGGUGUAGCGGGUGAAAUGCUUAGAUAUCGUCAAGAACACCGAUAGUGAAGACAGCUAACUAGACUUAUACUGACGCUGAGGCACGAAAAGUGUGGGGAUCAAACAGG